rnacentral:rRNA from 1 species
GACGAACGCUGGCGGCGUGCUUAACACAUGCAAGUCGAACGGAAAGGCCCUGCUUUUGUGGGGUGCUCGAGUGGCGAACGGGUGAGUAACACGUGAGUAACCUGCCCUUGACUUUGGGAUAACUUCAGGAAACUGGGGCUAAUACCGGAUAGGAGCUCCUGCUGCAUGGUGGGGGUUGGAAAGUUUCGGCGGUUGGGGAUGGACUCGCGGCUUAUCAGCUUGUUGGUGGGGUAGUGGCUUACCAAGGCUUUGACGGGUAGCCGGCCUGAGAGGGUGACCGGCCACAUUGGGACUGAGAUACGGCCCAGCCGCCUACGGGAGGCAGCAGUGGGGAAUAUUGCACAAUGGGCGGAAGCCUGAUGCAGCAACGCCGCGUGCGGGAUGACGGCCUUCGGGUUGUAAACCGCUUUCGCCUGUGACGAAGCGUGAGUGACGGUAAUGGGUAAAGAAGCACCGGCUAACUACGU